rnacentral:lncRNA from 1 species
CAGAGGGAAGCAGGGAGGGGCACAGCGAGCACCGGACAGGCGAGGCCGGAGCGUGGGGGAGGGAGGAGGAGAGAGACGGAGACCCAGACACGAUGGAAGGAAGCAGAUGAGCUGAGCGCGCACAAAGCACAGAGACAGGGCGGCCGCGGCACCUCCGCGCACAGGCGGCGGCUGCGGCUCCUCCACCUCCCUGCGCCCUAAGCCCCGCACCCCCUUCCUCGGCCGGCCCCGGAGCAGCCCGCGGUGGGGCUGCGGGUGGGAGGUGACCUUGGACUUCCAGGCGGCUACAUCGAGAAGAGAGACCAAAGGACGGAGCCAGAGAGAGAGAGAGAGAGAAGAGGGCGGGGGACGGGGUAUCCGGGGGCACUACAG